UGGCCUUGCGGGUGCCGUGUGCCAGUGGGUCUACCGACUGGUGGGAUUCGUGUGUCGCAGGCUCGCUGGGCCGGGUUCGUGACGUCAUAAAACAUGAAGGUAACUGAAUCCAGGCCAGAACUAACAUUUGCUCCACACUGGGUCCCAAAAAGAGCCAGAUCAGGGUGUGAUCUUUUGAAGACAUUCUGAAGAGCAAUUAAACAUCACAUACAUCCUAAGAAGGUACCUAACUCAAUUAAUGUGAUGACAGCAGGAACAGCUGCGACCAAGUUCACACAUGCCCAGCAGUGACCUCAGCUGAACAGGUCUCAACGGCUGCCUGCCAACAGCCCGUUGCUACACCUAGUUCUCACCUCCAACCAUAAUGACCACUUGGCACCAGUAGGACCAAAGAAGUACAUCCCCUGCCCCUGGUUGAUUAUGCAAAUGACAUUUGAGGGCCUUCCAGGAAUAGCAUUCAGGCCCAAGUCACAGUGUUUCUCAACCUGAGGACGACUGACAUUUGGAGACAAUUCUGUGUUGUGGAAACUGACCUGCACAUCGUCAAAAGG